CGUUACCAAACUGUUGCCUCGGCGGGAUCUCUGCCCCGGGUGCGUCGCACCCCGGACCAAGGCGCCCGCCGGAGGACCAACCAAAAACUCUUAUUGUAUACCCCCUCGCGGGUUUUUUUAUAAUCUGAGCCUUCUCGGCGCCUCUCGUAGGCGUUUCGAAAAUGAAUCAAAACUUUCAACAACGGAUCUCUUGGUUCUGGCAUCGAUGAAGAACGCAGCGAAAUGCGAUAAGUAAUGUGAAUUGCAGAAUUCAGUGAAUCAUCGAAUCUUUGAACGCACAUUGCGCCCGCCAGUAUUCUGGCGGGCAUGCCUGUCCGAGCGUCAUUUCAACCCUCGAACCCCUCCGGGGGGUCGGCGUUGGGGAUCGGCCCUGCCUUGGCGGUGGCCGUCUCCGAAAUACAGUGGCGGUCUCGCCGCAGCCUCUCCUGCGCAGUAGUUUGCACACUCGCAUCGGGAGCGCGGCGCGUCCACAGCCGUUAAACACCCAACUUCUGAAAUGUUGACCUCGGAUCAGGUAGGAAUACCCGCUGAACUUAAGCAUAUCAUA
rnacentral:rRNA from 1 species